AUACAGAGGGUGCGAGCGUUAAUCGGAAUUACUGGGCGUAAAGGGCGUGUAGGUGGCAAAUCAAGUUAGGUGUGAAAUCCCUGGGCUUAACCUAGGAGUUGCACUUAAUACUGGUUAGCUAGAGUUUAGUAGAGGAAAGGGGAAUUUCCGGUGUAGCGGUGAAAUGCAUAGAUAUCGGAAGGAACACCAGUGGCGAAGGCGACUUUCUGGACUAAAACUGACACUGAGGCGCGAAAGCGUGGGUAGCAAACAGGAUUAGAAACCCCGGUAGUCC
rnacentral:rRNA from 1 species